rnacentral:rRNA from 1 species
GAUGAACGCUGGCGGCGUGCUUAACACAUGCAAGUCGAACGAUGAAGCCCAGCUUGCUGGGUGGAUUAGUGGCGAACGGGUGAGUAACACGUGAGUAACCUGCCCUUGACUCUGGGAUAAGCCUGGGAAACUGGGUCUAAUACUGGAUAUGACUUCUCAUCGCAUGGUGGGGGGUGGAAAGAUUUAUUGGUCUUGGAUGGACUCGCGGCCUAUCCGCUUGUUGGUGAGGUAAUGGCUCACCAAGGCGACGACGGGUAGCCGGCCUGAGAGGGUGACCGGCCACACUGGGACUGAGACACGGCCCAGACUCCUACGGGAGGCAGCAGUGGGGAAUAUUGCACAAUGGGCGCAAGCCUGAUGCAGCGACGCCGCGUGAGGGAUGACGGCCUUCGGGUUGUAAACCUCUUUCAGUAGGGAAGAAGCGAGAGUGACGGUACCUUCAGAAGAAGCGCCGGCUAACUACGUG